AUGCCCCCCGCCCCUCCCCGCUGCACUCCGACCCCCCGCCUCUCCUGCUGUAUCCCCCGCCCCUCCCCGCUGCACCCCCUCCUCUCCUCCCUGCGCCCCCCGCCCCUCCCCGCUGCACCCCCCCGCCUCUCCUGCUGUAUCCCCGCCUCUCCCCACUGUAUCCCCGCCCCUUCCCCGCUGCACCCCCGCCCCUCCCCGCUGCACCCUCCGCCCCUCCCCGUCCCUCCUCGCUGCACCCCCGCCCCUCCCCACUGCACCCCCCCGCCUCUCCUGCUGUAUCCCCCGCUUCUCCCCACUGUAUCCCCCGCCCCUCCCCGCCCCUCCCCACUGCACCCCCACCUCUCCUGCUGUAUCCCCCGCCCCUCCCCGCUGCACCCCCCUCGCCUCUCCCCGCUGUACCCCCCGCCCCUCCCCGCUGCACCCCCCUCGCCUCUCCCCGCUGUACCCCCCGCCUCUCCCCGCCGCGCCCCCCGCCCCUUCCCCGCUGCACCUCCGCCCCUCCCCGCUGCGCCCCCCGCCCCUCCCCGCUGCGCCCCCGCCCCUCCCCGCCGCGCCCCCGCCCCUUCCCCGCCGCGCCCCCCGCCUCUCCCCGCCGCGCCCCCCGCCCCUUCCCCGCUGCACCCCCGCCCCUCCCCGCUGCACCCCCUCCCACCCGACCCCACCCACCCCCAGCCGGGCCGGUCGGCGGGGCAUCCGCCGCGCUCCUCCGCGCGCUCCGCUCCCCGCCGCCCCCGGGAGCCCUGGGUCUUUGCACCGUGCCCCGCGCCCCCCGCCCCCGCCCCCGCCCCGCUCCCACCGAGGAUGCUCGGGACCCCCGGGGCACUGGGGGCGGCGAGACGUGAGCCCUGGAGCCGUGCGAGGGUCCUGUGCCUCGGAAUCCACUGGGCCUUGCGAACCUGGGGUGCCCCGUCUCUGGGGCCUCGGUCCGGUCCGCGGCCGCCCCCGCGAGGACACCCGGCGGGAGCCGGUCACCGAGGGGCGACGGGGCCUUGGGGGCCCCGAGGUCCUCCCAGACCCCCCAGCCCCUGCUUGGAAGCUGGGUUCGGGAGGAGGGCGGGAGACGGGGAUGUGGGGAACCGGGUGCGAGUGGAUGCUGGAGUUUCAACCCCGGGGAAUUCAGCUAGUGGUGAGCGCGACCUUAUUGAGCAACUCUAG
rnacentral:lncRNA from 1 species